rnacentral:rRNA from 1 species
UACAGAGGUCUCAAGCGUUUGUUCGGAUUCACUGGGCUUAAAGGGUGCGUAGGCGGCUUGCCAAGUAGGGUGUGAAAGCCCCCGGCUUAACCGGGGAAUUGCGCCCUAAACUGGCGAGCUGGAGUGAGAUAGGGGUGUGUGGAACUUCCGGUGGAGCGGUGAAAUGUGUUGAUAUCGGAAGGAACGCCGGUGGCGAAAGCGACACACUGGGUCUCAACUGACGCUGAGGCACGAAAGCCAGGGAGCGAACGGG